GAUGAACGCUGGCGGCGUGCCUAAUACAUGCAAGUCGAGCGAACGGACGAGAAGCUUGCUUCUCUGAUGUUAGCGGCGGACGGGUGAGUAACACGUGGAUAACCUACCUAUAAGACUGGGAUAACUUCGGGAAACCGGAGCUAAUACCGGAUAAUAUUUUGAACCGCAUGGUUCAAAAGUGAAAGACGGUCUUGCUGUCACUUAUAGAUGGAUCCGCGCUGCAUUAGCUAGUUGGUAAGGUAACGGCUUACCAAGGCAACGAUGCAUAGCCGACCUGAGAGGGUGAUCGGCCACGAUGGAACUGAGACACGGACCAGACUCCGACGGGAGGCAGCAGUAGGGAAUCUUCUGCAAUGGGCGAAAGCCUGACGGAGCAACGCCGCGUGAGUGAUGAAGGUCUUCGGAUCGUAAAACUCUGUUAUUAGGGAAGAACAUAUGUGUAAGUAACUGUGCACAUCUUGACGGUACCUAAUCAGAAAGCCACGGCUAACUACGUG
rnacentral:rRNA from 1 species